UACGUAGGGCGCAAGCGUUAUCCGGAAUUAUUGGGCGUAAAGAGCUCGUAGGCGGUUUGUCGCGUCUGCCGUGAAAGCCCCGGGCUUAACCUGGGAACUGCGUUUGAUACGGAUGGGCUAGAGUUCGGGAGAGGAGAGUGGAAUUCCCAGUGUAGAGGUGAAAUUCGUAGAUAUUGGGAAGAACACCGGUGGCGAAGGCGGCUCUCUGGACCGAGACUGACGCUGAGGCGCGAAAGCGUGGGGAGCAAACAGG
rnacentral:rRNA from 1 species